ACACUCUCCUUGGGCAGGACCUGCUGCAGCUGCUCUCGGGGUUGGAGGGGAGGUUCCUAGGUCAAUGGAGUUGUGUACCUAGGAGGAUUAUGGCUGCCUCUGCUGAGUCAUGCAGAUUGUCAGGAAGUGUGAGAAAGCCAGCAGUCACCGGCCUCACCCAGCCACCCUGCCGCCAUUAACAGCACUAGGCAGGCAGUGCGCAGAGCUGAGAACUUGCCCCAGGUUACCCGCCUCCCAGCUGCUAAACAAAAGGGAGGCUUUUCAGCUGGUUCAAAUUGUUACAAAGUUCAGCUAGAGAUUUGCUUUUACCUGCGGCGUUUUCCCCAUACCACUGGCUGCCCUCCCGAAGAAUUCCUGUGAUGCCAGGCAGGAAUGGCCUGGUUGGAGACCAGCUAGCUCCCAGGGCCUUUCCCGCUGCUUCCUCUACCCCUGUAUUUCGCUGGGCUCUCUAAAUGGAUUCAGCUCCAGAGGAGGAAAACCUUGAGACCCUGAGACUUUCAGAAACUUAUUCACAGUUACCAAAGCUGGCACACGGAUGGAGCUGAAGGCCAUUAUCCUUAGCAAACCAACACAGGAACAGAGAACCAAAUACCGCAUGUUCUCACUUAUACGUGGCAGCUAAAUGAUGAGAACACAUGAACACAUAGAGGAAAACAACACACACUGGGACCUUUUGGAGGAUGGAGGAUGUGAGAAGGGAGAGGAUCAGGAAAAAUAACUCCGACGGGUACUAGGCUUACUAUCUGGAAAAUGUUUGUGGCAGGGAGUGGGACAUCCGGCUUCAGAGCAGGAACUUUCAUUGCACCAGUGAUGAAAAAGAGAAUGAAAUGUGGGUGACGUUGAGAAAGGCAAGAAGAUUUUUGUUCAGAAGUGUGCCCAGUGCCUAAAAGGGAGGCAAGCACAAGACUGGGCCUAACCUCCAUGGUCUCUUUGGGCUGAAGACUGGUCAGGCCAUUGGAUUCUCUUACAAAGAUGCCAGUAAGAACAAAGAGAUCACCUGGGGAGAGGAUACAGUGAUGGAGCAUUUGCAGAAUCCCAAGAACUACAUCCCUGGAACAAAAAUGAUCUUUGCUGGCAUUCAGAAGAAGGCAGAAAGGGCAGACUUGAUAGCUUAUCUCAAAAAAAGCUACUCAUGAGUAAUAAUUGGCCACUGCCUUAUUUAUUACAAAACAGAAAUGUCUCAUGACUUUUCUAUGUGUACCAUACUUUAAUAGAUCUCAUACACCAGAAUUCAGAUCAUGAAUGACUGACAGAAUAUUUUACUGGGCAAUCCUGAUUUAAAACUAAGACUGGCUUGUGGUUAAAUGAAUGUGUUCAGUUUUUGAAUUUUAAUAGUAAUUCCAAUUCAGUAAAUGCUAUCACUGUUUACCCCUUCUAAAGAUAUGAUUAGACUUCACUGGUAAUGUUCAACUUUUCACAAAGAUGGUGACUGCCAUCUUAAAACUUACUGGAUAUUGGUUUAUAUUUAGAUUUCUAUAACUGGUUAUGUGAAUAUAUUUAAAUACUCGGGAAAUUCCUUCACUGUCUCAGAACCAAGCAAGAUUCAUCUGUGUUUUGUGUUCAUUUGCCUCUUAAAGGCAAGGGUUGAAGAUAAAUAAGGUAGCAACGUCUACUUUAUAUUUUUGGCCUUAACUAUGCCAAUCUAAUUAGAAUUCUCUGCAUUUAAACUGGUUCUUUUUACUUACUGAAGGGCAUUUUAGUGUGGUUUAUGUGUAAUAUCAAAGAUUAUUUAACAUUUCUCACAUUUUAUAGAUGAUCUAUAAGGUCACAUGCUUUUAAUAUAGUAGCAAGUUAAACUUCACUCUUGAAUUCUUUACAAUCUAAGUCAAACUAAGUUAUAAUUUAAGAUUGUCUUUAAACAGCCAUUCAGAUACAUAAAACUGUGGAACUGCUCUGUAUUUGUGAUUGUGGAUAGUGCUUUUGCCAACUUAAAAGAAUUAAAGUAGAGGAGAUAUACAUAAAUUUUAAAAUUAUGUGUGAUCAUAAGACUUAAGAUAAUUAAAAAGAAAUUCACAGAUCAUUACAAAAACAUGUUCAUGGCAAAGAAAAGACAUAUUCUAAGUAGAUUAAUAAUUACAGAUGUGUCAAAUAUACAGUUCUAGGAUUUAUGAUGUAGUCAUUAAGUUCAUCAAAUACUAUAAUGAAAUAUGUAAUUUAAUUUAAAUAAUAUUUAGAAAUUAUAUCCAUAUAUUCAACAAGUAAUUAUUAAGUGUAUUUAUGUGCCAGAUACCAUUCUAGGUGCCUGGGAUGCAUCAGUGAACAGAAUACAUCUAGUGCUGCAUGAGGGAGCUUCUUUUUUAGUGAAGGAGGACAUUAGACACAGAUGUAUAAAUGAGUCAUUGAACAAGAUAAUUGCAGGCAGAGAUGGAUUCUAUGAAAGAAAUAAAUCAGGGUGAUGAGAGGGAAAGUGACAGAGAGACAGCUUUAGGUUGGAGGCUAAAGUGAGGCCUUUGAAGAAAUGAUAAUUCAUGUGUGACUUGAAUGACAAGAUAAAAUGUAGAGAGUUAGAGGCUGAGGAUUACAGGCCAAGGAAAUAGCCCUGUGCAUAUGUUGUGAGACAUAGCUCCAAGACAUAGACAUGCAUAGUUUAAUUCAACUUGACUCUUCCAGAAAUGAAUUGAAGGUCGCUAGGCCUGGAGUGUCAGGAAGCAGAGGAGAAGUUGUGAGAGAAGAGUUUGAAGUGAGAUGCCUGUGUCAUUUAAUGAAGCAAAUCACAUGAAAAAUAUCACUGGCAUUUUUUAUUAUACGACUUAUUUAAAAAUAGCAAUAAAAUUUACUUCCUACUUUAUCCUAAGGUUCUGAAGACCUUUCAAUGGUGUUCUUGGAGGAGAGUUUACAAUUUUGGUGUGUAUCAUGAUUGUAAAGAUACCCUGAUAUCUUUAUAAAAUAGAAGUAAAUUUAGAAAUUAAAAAAAACAAAACUUUCCUGUUCUCUCGGUCAAUCACUGACAGUAUGUAAAAUCAUUGCCUAGUUGAUAAAUUCAUUCAAGUCUUUCAUUUUAGUUCAAGGAGACUUUAGUUUCCUCCUUUUGGAUUAUAAAAUGGCAGUUACCUGGAUCCCUUUUGUAUAUACAAUUCAUGACUUACACAUACCAGUUUUGUACAUAUGUUGUAAAUAGCUACUAUUGUAAAAGAAAAAAUAAUUUUCACAGGAAUAUUUUCUGUGUAUAACAGAAAUGGCUUACUUUGAUGUCUUUGUUGAAAAUAUGUCCAUAACUAAUGUAAGAAUAUUCUAAAACUUUAUUUAAAAAUUUUAAAAGAACAUUUUUAUGGAUAAGCAAUCUCAAUAUUAUAAAAAUGACUUCUCUUUCCCAUGUAAAUGUAAAACUUCCCAUCAAAUUCUGAUAGAACUUAAUAUUAAUGGAUCUUGAUACAACAUAUAAAAAUCAUGUGAAAUACAAGGGACCAAAAAAUUGCAAAAAUAUUUUUGAAAAUGAAUAAAUAAAUUAGUGUUACUUAAGCCACAGUAUAUUAAGUCUUACAGCACCUGAAAGUCGUAUUGUGCAGAGACAGAUAAAUGGAAAGCUAAGCAAAAUAAUGAUUCCAGAAAUCAAUCAAUAAACAAACACAUAUACACAUAUAUUUGAUAUAUGACUAUUGCCAUUGUAGACUAACAGGAAAAAGAGAAGCAAUUCAGAAAAUAAUUAAAAAUUAGUUAUACAUAUGAAGAAACAUGAACUUAGAUUAAUAAUUCCUUCCUUAUAUUACAUACAAAAAUAAAUGCUAUAUUUAUUAGUCUACUAUGUAAACCAACAUUAGAAAGUCUUUAAAGAAAAUAUAAUAGUAUGUCUUUACAACACAAGAUAUGAAGAGCAUUCUAAAUAAAAACUCCAAAAGUGAAUCAUAAAAAUGAUUGAUAAUUUUGAUUAUAUUAACAUAAACAUUUAUUUCCUGAAAUAAACAUUCUUCCUGUGCAUGCACAUGCAUCUGUAAAUUUAAAAUAAAAACAAAUUCAGUACAAUAUUUAUUUGUAAUAAUACUAGAAAUCUUAUGUGAUAUUGUUCUACAAGUACUAGACAUUUUAUAUUAAGAAAGCAUUGCAAUAAGGUGUAUAAAUAUUGAUACAUGGGAAGAUAUAAGUUCCGUGUCUGUAGCUAAUAUGAGCAUAAAGCUGUAGAUCAUGAGAGAAUAAAGAAUAUUAGAAAACUGACACUGUUGAUAAGCCAAUUCUCUUUAAAUGUAAGACAGUCACAAAAUAAAACUUUUCUUGAAUUAUUGGAAUUGCAUAAUUUCUACUUAUAGAAAAUUAUUAAAUAUCUUCUGGAACAGUUAAGCAUUUAUGAUAGCAGGAGGUUUAUGAAAAAAUAAUUUUGAAGAGUCACUAGAUCUUUCAGAUAGAGUUAGCAUGCUUUACUUAUUAAAACUGGAUAAUAUUGUCACAAAAUAAACACAUUAAUCAAAAAGAUGUAUGUAGAUGAAUUUUAUGAUAAAGCUAGGAUUUCCAAUCAUUAAAGAAAUAAAGAUGAAUUGUUCAUUGAAUGGUUUUGAAAAAAUA
rnacentral:lncRNA from 1 species